rnacentral:rRNA from 1 species
CCUACGGGUAGCAGCAGUGGGGGAUAUUGCACAAUGGGGGACACCCUGAUGCAGCGACGCCGCGUGAGUGAAGAAGUAUUUCUGUAUGUAAAGCUCUAUCAGCAGGGAAGAACAUGACAGUGCCUUACCAAUCCGCCCCGGCUAACUCCGUGCCAGCCGCCGCGGUAAUACGUAGGGGGCAAGCCUUAUCCGGAUUUACUGGGUGUAAAGGGUGCGUAGACGGUUAUGUAAGUCUGGAGUGAAAGCCCGGGGCCCAACCCCGGGACUGCUUUGGACAUUGUGUAACUGGAGUACAGGAGGGGCAGGCGGAAGUCCUGGUGUAGAGGUGAAAUGCGUAGAUAUCAGGAGGAACACCGGCGGAGAAGGCGGCCUGCUGGAAUGAAACGGACGUUGAGGCUCGAAAGCGUGGGGAGCAAACAGGAUUAGAUACCCCAGUAGUC